rnacentral:rRNA from 1 species
GAUGAACGCUGGCGGCGUGCCUAAUACAUGCAAGUCGAGCGAACGGACGAUAAGCUUGCUUCUCUGAUGUUAGCGGCGGACGGGUGAGUAACAUGUGGAUAACCUACCUAUAAGACUGGGAUAACUUCGGGAAACCGGAGCUAAUACUGUAUGAUAUUUUGAACCGCAUGGUUGAAAAGCGAAAGACGGUCUUGCUGUCACUUCUAGAUGGAUCCGCGCUGCAUUAGCUAGUUGGUAAGGUAACGGCUUACCAAGGCAACGAUGCAUAGCCGACCUGAGAGGGUGAUCGGCCACACUGGAACUGAGACACGGUCCAGACUCCUACGGGAGGCAGCAGUAGGGAAUCUUCCGCAAUGGGCGGAAGCCUGACGGAGCAACGCCGCGUGAGUGAUGAAGGUCUUCGGAUCGUAAAACUCUGUUAUUAGGGAAGAACAUAUGUGUAAGUAACUGUGCACAUCUUGACGGUACCUAAUCAGAAAGCCACGGCUAACUACGUG